AUGUGUGUUCUGGGAGGGGGCGAGCCUGUUCACAAAAAGAGUGGGGGGCAGCACCGAAGCCCAUGCUGCGACUCGAGCCUCCCUCCCACAGGGACUGGAGUCAGAAACCCAAGUCCCUGCUGCGUUUUGACAACACGGACGGACCUGGGGCAGGACGGGUGCAAGAGGAUGCCCUCGCUGGCACAGGAGGAGGUGGGAGGAACUUCUUCACAAAAUGGUGUGAAAACUAAUUGGCUCUGUGGAGAGAUGACCCCAUCCUCCCUGCACACAUACAAACACCAGGCGCUCCCCAGUACCGCGACCACCUCCCGCUACAAGUCUCUACUAGAGGACGCAACAGCUCCCAGAACCUGAGUCCAAACCACUGUGAUGGUGCCUGGUAGAAUCAAUGCACUGGGCAACCCAGCAGCGAAUGAGGGCAGCAAUAUAAGAAAGAGCCCCAGCCCCCACGUGCAUGGAAUACGGGAGCCGCACUGGACUUCAGAGAGCAGCGGCUGAGCACCGGAGGCUUCCGUGGAAAGGGUACUUCCGCCACAGCGUAAACAGACGCAUGGAGGAGCUCCUGUGGGCUGACUUGCAGUCUGCACUGUCUUUAAACCUGUGUGUGUGUGUGUGUGUGUCUGUGUGUGUGUGUAAGUAUGUAAGGACUAUAAGCACCUUCUCUGUGGCAUUUGCCAUAAAUGACAAUAAAACUUCAGGGUGAAAUAAGUGUUACUGAGUUCUUUUCUUACAGAGCAAUGAUACUGUAUUGCUGAUCCCAGGCAAAAAGUUACACUUCUAAAGAGAAAGAAGAUGUCAACAGGCCCCUUUUUCCCCCUAUUAAGAAAAAAUGACUGUGCAGCUUUUAAA
rnacentral:lncRNA from 1 species